rnacentral:rRNA from 1 species
ACUGGUUUUCUUGAGUGUGGAUGAAGUAGGCGGAAUUUGUGGUGUAGCGGUGAAAUGCAUAGAUAUCACAAGGAACACCGAUUGCGCAGGCAGCUUACUAAACCAUAACUGACGCUCAGGCACGAAGGCGUGGGGAGCAAACAGGAUUAGAUACCCUGGUAGUCCACGCAGUAAACGAUGAUUACUAGCUGUUUGCGAUACAAUGUAAGCGGCUGAGCGAAAGCGUUAAGUAAUCCACCUGGGGAGUACGUUCGCAAGAAUGAAACUCAAAGGAAUUGACGGGGGUCCCGCACAAGCGGAGGAACAUGUGGUUUAAUUCGAUGAUACGCGAGGAACCUUACCCGGGGCUUGAAAUGCAUCUGACCGGCCUUGAAAGAGGUUUUACCCUUCGGGGCAGAUGUGUAGGUGCUGCAUGGUUGUCGUCAGCUCGUGCCGUGAGGUGUCGGCUUAAGUGCCAUAACGAGCGCAACCCGUCAUCAUUAGUUACCAUCAGGUAAGGCUGGGGACUCUAAUGAGACUGCCAUCGUAAGAUGUGAGGAAGGUUGGGGAUGACGUCAAAUCAGCACGGCCCUUACGUCCGGGGUCGACACACGUGUUACAAUGGGUGGUACAAAGGGUCAGCUACCUGGCGACAGGAUGCUAAUCUCCAAAACCGCUCUCAGUUCGGAUCGGAGUCUGCAACUCGACUCCGUGAAGCUGGAUUCGCUAGUAAUCGCGC